AGUUACUGCCACCCUCUCCCAGGUCUAGAGAGGGGUACCCACGGUGGAGGGAGGUGGGAGGCCGAGACGGCCCCGGGGGUCGGCGGAGACCCAGCGGGAGCAGGGGGAAAUCGGAAGAGCUGGGGGCAUGGAGCGGGCGAGUUUGGAGCGGAAUGAGCCGGGAGCCCUACGUUGUGGAAGGAAGACAACAGUAUAGGACCAUCAGCAGGACCGGACAGAGAGGGGCACCCCUGGCUGUCCUGGAACUUGUAGACCAGGCUGGCCUUGAACUCAGAAAUCCGCCUGCCUCUGACUCCCGAGUGCUGAGAUUAAAGGUGUGCACCACCACACCCGACAAGGAAGCCUGUUUUAAGAAGUGAUUCCAUGGAGGAGUUCUGCGGCGGCUCAGGGCUUGACUAAACAGUGGACCUCAGGGUCCCAUUUCUCUCAGUAGACAAGAGAGGCUAAACCAGGCUGCAGGUGACAGGAAGAAUUGAAUAAACUGAAAGCAAAGGGCAGCCUUCUAAUUACGCUUCGUGGCUAUGUGGACAACCUGGAGAAGUCUGGAAACAAGCCAGAAGCCCGAAGCCAGCAGUAGAGCUCUGACUGGCUUGUAUGCCUAGAAAGGAAGGGCUCUUCUUUCGCCUCACGGGCACAAAUGGGACCCACGAGCGCCGAUUUCAGACUAUUCUGAUCCCUUCAAAAAGAAAGUUAGGAGUCCAGGCUACUGUGAGUGAAUUUGAUUCUAAUUGUUUCAGAGAAUAUGGAAUAAAAUAUCUCAUUUGCAGUUGUUUA
rnacentral:lncRNA from 1 species